AGUUAUUUAGCUUAAAAUAAAGUGUAUAUUUUGAAAAUAUAAGAUAGAGAAAUUUAAUAACUU
rnacentral:tRNA from 1 species